rnacentral:rRNA from 1 species
CCUACGGGAGGCAGCAGUGAGGAAUAUUGGUCAAUGGACGAGAGUCUGAACCAGCCAAGUAGCGUGAAGGAUGACUGCCCUAUGGGUUGUAAACUUCUUUUAUAUGGGAAUAAAAUGUUCCACGUGUGGGAUUUUGUAUGUACCAUAUGAAUAAGGAUCGGCUAACUCCGUGCCAGCAGCCGCGGUAAUACGGAGGAUCCGAGCGUUUUCCGGAUUUAUUGGGUUUAAAGGGAGCGUAGGUGGAUUGUUAAGUCAGUUGUGAAAGUUUGCGGCACAACCGUAAAAUUGAAGUUAAAACUGGCAGUCUUGAGUACAGUAGAGGUGGGCGAAAUUAGUGGUGUGGCGGGGAAAUGCUAAGAUAUAACGAAGAAUCCGAAU